GGGGAUGUAGCUCAGUGGUAGAGCGCGUGCCUUGCGAGCAUGCGGUCCCGGGUUCGAUUCCCGGCAUCUCCA